CCAGGAAGCUAUAGUUUAUAUAACAUGCUGUGACUGCAUACACUCAAAUAAGUGAUUUUCUCAUUAAAAUUGAGCUCGCAAAAAAAAAACCAAACAAUAAUCAUGAACAUCAUAAAAGUUGGACUCUUUUGGAUUUUAAUCUCCUUAAUAGAAGGUCAGUUAUAUAUGCUUUGAGAAUACAUUUAAAUUGACAACCAUAUAAAAGAAUACUUUUCAAAUAGAAACUUAUGCCUUCCAAGUGGUACUUAGAAGGACAGUUAUUGUCGUUUUACUUAAGUAAGUAAAUUGUCUAUGUCUAAAAAGAUAUGUGCAACAGCUAACAAGUUAUAGAGAUAAGGUCAGUUGUAUGUUUUCUAAUUUAAAACAUAUUGCUUUUGAACAUAAAUAUCUUACUUAAUUAAGAAAAACAAAAAAAUGCUUUGAUCAGUACUCAUUUUACAAGGUUUUCAAGUUAAAUUUGAAACCUAAAUCAUUAAACUUGAUUGGAUAAAUAUGUGUCCAACAGCUAACAAACUCUGAAAAAAAUAGAGAUAUGUCACCAUCGUUAUAGCAGAACAUAAAGAUACUAAAUCAUGCUAGCUGUUUUCAUUAUCUCGUAGAAACUCCAGUAUGAAUAAGGAGAUGUGGUAUGAUUGACAAUGUGACAUCAAACACAAGACAUAAAAAUGAUAAAGAGUGUAUGAAAUCGAUUUAUAUAUAUAUAUGAUAGACCAAGUUGGCAAGAUGAGGAGUACAGUAUGUUCCCAUGAUUAUUCCAACUUGAUUGAAAUAAAUGUCCUAUAUACGAAAACAAUCAGCUCUUUGUGACAAAAAAAUACAUUCUCCAUAGAAUUUUCUGUUCGAAUGAACAAGCCAACAAAUAAAAAGUCGUGUAAGAAAAAUUAGAAUGAUCUUAACACCCAAUAUUGUAUGUUAGAAAAGCUACAGGUAAAUCAAUGAACAGGUAUAUACUUUUAAGAUGAUUACAUCUACAAAUAUCUCAUCUUUGGACCCAUGACUCUCAAUGUUCAACGAUAAACAGUUAUCUAACAUAUCUUAUUAAACAUCAAAUAUAUGAAAUAUAUAAAAUGUAUGUUAAGACUAAUAUUUCUUUACUCUUUCAGUUCAAAGUAAUAGCAAUAAGACGAAAUGCAUCUCGCAAAAUACAAAUGUUGAUUGCAGACAUUUGGGCCUGAC
rnacentral:lncRNA from 1 species